rnacentral:snoRNA from 1 species
GGCCGGUGAUGCAUGAUGAAUUUGUCCGUACCAUCCGAGAUUUUCUCUGACGAAUGCUCAUUCUUGAAUCUGAGGCCU